rnacentral:rRNA from 1 species
GAUUAUGGCUCAGGAUGAACGCUAGCGGCAGGCUUAACACAUGCAAGUCGAGGGGCAGCGCGGGGUAGCAAUACUCUGGCGGCGACCGGCGGAAGGGUGCGUAACGCGUGAGCAACAUGCCCGUAUGAGGGGGAUAAGCACUGGAAACGGUGUCUAAUACCCCGUAACACUUUGGACCGCAUGAUCCGAAGUUAAAGAUUUAUCGCAUACGGAUUGGCUCGCGUGACAUUAGCUAGUUGGCGGGGUAACGGCCCACCAAGGCGACGAUGUCUAGGGGUUCUGAGAGGAAGGUCCCCCACACUGGAACUGAGACACGGUCCAGACUCCUACGGGAGGCAGCAGUGAGGAAUAUUGGUCAAUGGGCGGAAGCCUGAACCAGCCAUGCCGCCGUGAAGGAAUAAGGCCCUAUGGGUCGUAAACUUCUUUUGACGGGGAGCAAUAAGGGCGUCGUGCACGUCCGAUGAGAGUACUCGUCGAAUAAGCAUCGGCUAACUCCGUGCCAGCCGCCGC